GUGAAAACGGAAACAAGUAUGCCGUCUCCCUGUGCUGCAUACAAUUACACACUGCGUCGUACGAUUGAGACAAGGAAACUUGGAAUGACUUUUCAUAGGUUUCCCAGAGACUAUGGGUUGAGGAGGAAUUGGAAGUUUGUCGGCUUAGACCUGGUGUCAUUCCAUCAUGUUAAACUUCCCGGCUCAUCUUGGAAGAGUACGUGCCAGAAAGACCACAACCAAGCAGCCUUGAGAUCUUAGGUAGUGUCUCCCUGAGGUCCCUCUCUGUCUCCCCACACAUCCACCAACCACUGGAACACAUCUCCAAAGUUCUGCUGGGCCAGCUCAGCUUCCCCUCAGAAGGAGUGCCGCCACCUGCCAGAUGAAUGAGCCUUUUGAGAGGCAGCUGGCAUCGUGAUUGGACUGUACUUUGGUCUGUUCCAAUCCAGCUUCAGCUCCAGAGACGGCAGGCGGGACGAGUCAACGGAGGCCUGGUGGACGAAGGCAUGCAGCUGAGUACAAUCCAGAAAACAACAGAGGAGGAGUGCAGCAGCCCAGAGCCAGAACAACCAGAGUAGCAUCGUAUGUCUCUUAGAAAACAUCAUAGUAUAGCCUUUGGGAUGAAAAAACGCCAUCAUAUACAUCGUAUAUUGUACAAAUAACAAGUCAAAGCAAAGAGACAUACAUUGUAGAAUUGUAGUAAUUGUGGGCUGACUGAUUUACUGAUUAUCAGUAUUUUAUUUUUUACUGAUUUAUGGUAAUAAAUCAAUUUAAAAAUGGUGCUACUUUGGCUCUGAACCUUUAUCUACCUGUGGUCGCUCUGUCUUCUGGAGUGAUUUGAUUGGUUAUACGUCACGAAUAAAACUCCUUUAACUUAACAUCUGUAAACAAAACAAAAACGUAUCAACAAAGUUUUCUGUUAAAGUUUGUGUUCUUCUAAGUUUAACUCCAAGAUUUGAAAUACUUUCAUUGACUGCAAAUGAAUAUCUACUCCAAAUGUCUCACUAAUAAUCAUUAUCAGCCUUAAAAACCCACAAAACACCCCUCUAUACUGGACCACACUUAGUACAGUCUGGUUCCCCCUUCUAUAAAUCUGCUUGGAAUCUUCCACUUCCUGUUUGUCAAAGUGGCCUUCUACCUGGACAGGUUUUGUUGGAGCUCAUGCAGCAAACAUUUUGGGUAACUGCACUUUAAUAUGGAUGGAUGACACUGAAUUAGAGUCUGUUUUAAUGAGACUGAGUUAAGAUGUGUAGCUCUGUCAUUAAAUAGUAAAUUAUUUCUCAGAAUUCACAGAGAAAAGUCUGAAAUGUUUGCUAGGUUAGCGUCCCACAUGUUCUUUGGCUCAGCUAAAGCUAACUCUCUCCAACUUCUGGAUCUCUUGAGUUGCUUGUUAAAAUAUGUUGCUAGAGAUGCUGAAGCUCAGAAAGUCUGAGAUGUUUGUUCAAAAUAAGCUCAUUCUCAAGUCUUAUCUGAACUCUUUUGUUUGAACUUUCCCUAAACUUAGGAAUUAAUGACAGAGCAGCACAUCCAGCCUCAGUCUCAUUUAUGUAGCGAUUAAACUUCAGUGUCAUUCAUUGAUGUUAAAGUGCAGUUUUUCAAAUGUUUGUUGCACAUGCUCCCGACCAAACCAGUCCAGGUGGAAGACGAUGUGAAGAGAAAGCUCCAGAGGAUGAAUAUCACACAUUUACGUUGGAAAUAAAUGUCCUUUAAUUAGACAUUGUCAUGCAAAAGUUGGAUUUCCCUUUAAAACCUUCUACAGCUCACAAGCUGCAACAAUUCACACAUUAUCAACUAUCUUUCUGACUAAACUAAGAUAAAAAGUGAAAAACUGCCUGAUUCCUGCAUCAUGAAUGUAAAUCUUUUUGGUUUUUAUGACAGUAAACUGAAUAUAUUUGGGUUUGACAUUUUAUAAACCAAAACAAGAAAUGAAUUACUGGAGAAAACAAUUAACAGAUUAAUGGUCAAAGAAAAUGUGUUUUCCAACAUAUAUGGCUGAAUUACUCCAACAUUACAAGAUACAUACAAUUUGAAUUCAAUUUUAUAUAACGCCAAAUACAGGUCAAAUUGUCUGAAGACACUUUAUUUUUAUAUUUUUUGUCAUAUUUAAAAUAUGGCAAAGUAAGAAAUUUAAACCUCUUGACUAAUCCAAUUUAUUACUUGGUUUUUAAGAGACUAAUGGACAAUUAUAAUAACUUUCUCCACUAAAACUAAUAAACAUGAAGUCAAAUAGAAGGAAGAGUUUUAAAUACUGCAGUCCCACGAUGACAAGAAUAAAGUUUGUCAACAAAAACUAAAUCUGCUGGUGGAUUCCAUUAAAGUCCUAAUAAAUGAUAAUGAAGUGUGAUACUAAAGGUUUGUGGUGCUAAAAAUGUCAAAGUAAAGAUAUCAAGUUGAACAUCUGGAUGGAGGUUGAUAAAAGUUGACCUUUCAUUUCUCUGGAGCGACUCCAUGGAUUUUAUGGAUGGUGGUUAAAGGACCUGCUCUUCUAGUGGUCUUCCUUGUAGUUGCUGUAAAAUGUCAGUCCAUCGUGGUCGAACUUGUUCUGCCUCCGACCUGGUGGAAACUCCAGAAACUCG